CAAUACCGUGAGGUGGAGCGAAUCACAAAACCCGGACCUCAGUUCAGAUUGCAGGCUGCAACUCGCCUGCAUGAAGUUGGAAUUGCUAGUAAUCGCGAAUCAGAAUGUCGCGGUGAACACGUUCCCGGGCCUUGUACACACCGCCCGUCACACCAUGAGAGUCGAUAACACCCGAAGCCUGUGAGCUAACCGCAAGGAAGGAGCAGCCGAAGGCAGGUCGGAUGACUGGGGUGAAGUCGUAACAAGGUACC
rnacentral:rRNA from 1 species